GCGGUCAUAGUGUAGUGGCUAUCACGUCUCUUUCCCACAUAUCCUACCAGGUGGUUAAAAGAGGAGGGCGCGGGUUCGAACCCCGCUGGUCGCA
rfam:Tstilago hordei, Th4857-4, WGS project CAGI01000000 data, contig: THOR_scaffold_5.00004